GGAAGGGGACAGUCUGUCUUUCUAAUCCUUUGGUGUCCUCUAGACCCAUCGUUUGAAAAAUUUCAAAUAUUUUAUGCAGUUCAAUGAUUGUGUCUUUCCAUUUCUAAGUGUUGUUUCUCCAAAAAUUAAGUUUGUUUUUUUUCCCCAAGACAGGGUUUCUCUGUGUAGCUUUGGAGCCUAUCCUGGCACUCGCUCUGGAGACCAGGCUGGCCUCGAACUCUCAGAGAUCUAUCUGCCUCUGCCUCCCGAGUGUUGGGAUUAAAGGCAUGAGUCAUCAACACCCGGCCCAAAUUAAGUUUUUGGUUUUUAUUUUUCUAUAUAAGUUUUGUGUGUCUGAUAUCAUAAAAUUAAGCACACGUUCUAAGAGAGGGUACAAAUAAGCUCUUAAAAUAUUUCUUUUCUUUUCUUUUCUUUUUUUUUUUUUUUUUUUUUUUAGAGAUGACUCUGUAGAACAGGCUGGCCUGGAAUUUAUAGAGAGCUACUUGUCUCUUCUUUCUGAGUUCAGGGAUCAAAAGCGUUACCAACUAUGUCUGAUAUGUGAUGGAGAGAUGGGAGAGAAAAAGAAGUGAAGCGGUUUCUGUGCUGUGGAAAGAGGGAGAGCUGGAGAUGUGAAGGCAGUGAGGAACAGGCCAAUAUGAGGAGCAUGCACAGCCACUGAGGCCAUAGUGAUGUCCAGCCUGAGCUGCUGCUAAGGGUCAUGUCUGGCUCCAUGGUCCUACUGCAGCCAGGGUACGUGUUGAUGUCCAUGGCCUGUGUUACCACCAAAGGCCAUGUGGAUGUCCUUGUUCUGGGCCUCCGCCUGAAACCAAGUUGAUGAGCUGGCCCUGCCCCUUGCUGGCAGGCCGAAGCUGUGGUGCUGGGCAUGAGAGCUGGUACCACCCUUCCAGAGAGGGCCUCGAGCUGGUGAAGGCCUGGGCUGACCAACUCAGCUACUAUGCAGGCCUGGAUUCAGGGCCUUGAGUUGGCCUACCCCAACAUCUACCCCAUCUGUGAGCUGCUGAAGUGUGUGAAUGAGGCAGUCCUGUGGAAGAAUAGCCACAGGCUCUCCAUAAUCCUGUAGGCAACAACAGGAUAUCUAAGAGAAGCUGUGGUGUUCAGUAUUGAUGGCAUAGCGGAAGCCAGAGGCCUUGAACCAGAUCAACAAAUGAGUCAUUGCAAUGAACAUUUGCAAGUAAAGCUGUUUGGGCAAAAGAGUAUACUGCACAACACACUAUAGCUGCCUGUGCUGCCACGAUGAAGGAAUGUGUGAUGGAGAGGCUGGAGAGGAGGGAGAGGUGGAGGACAGAAUGGUACAAAGUAUCGCAGAGCUGGAGACUUGACAGUGUGGCUGC
rnacentral:lncRNA from 1 species